GGCUUCNGCUAUCACUUUUGGANGGUCCCGCGGCGUAUUAGCUAGAUGGUGNGGUAACGGCUCACCAUGGCAAUGAUACGUAGCCGACCUGAGAGGGUAAUCGGCCACAUUGGGACUGAGACACGGCCCAAACUCCUACGGGAGGCAGCAGUAGGGAAUCUUCCACAAUGGACGAAAGUCUGAUGGAGCAACGCCGCGUGAGUGAAGAAGGGUUUCGGCUCGUAAAACUCUGUUGUUAAAGAAGAACAUAUCUGAGAGUAACUGUUCAGGUAUUGACGGUAUUUAACCAGAAAGCCACGGCUAACUACGUGCCAGCAGCCGCGGUAAUACGUAGGUGGCAAGCGUUGUCCGGAUUUAUUGGGCGUAAAGCGAGCGCAGGCGGUUUUUUAAGUCUGAUGUGAAAGCCUUCGGCUCAACCGAAGAAGUGCAUCGGAAACUGGGAAACUUGAGUGCAGAAGAGGACAGUGGAACUCCAUGUGUAGCGGUGAANNGCNNAGAUAUAUGGAAGAACACCCNUUGGCNAANGCGGNUGUCUNGNCNGNNANUGACNCUGAGGCUCNAA
rnacentral:rRNA from 1 species